UACGUAGGGUGCAAGCGUUUGUCCGGAAUUAUUGGGCGUAAAGAGCUCGUAGGCGGUUUGUCGCGUCUGCUGUGAAAACUCGGGGCUUAACCCCGGGCCUGCAGUGGGUACGGGCAGACUAGAGUGCGGUAGGGGGAGACUGGAAUUCCUGGUGUAGCGGUGAAAUGCGCAGAUAUCAGGAGGAACACCGGUGGCGAAGGCGGGUCUCUGGGCCGUAACUGACGCUGAGGAGCGAAAGCAUGGGGAGCGAACAGG
rnacentral:rRNA from 1 species